GGGGACCUGCGGAAGGAUCAUUACCGAGUGUAGGGUUCCUAGCGAGCCCAACCUCCCACCCGUGUUUACUGUACCUUAGUUGCUUCGGCGGGCCCGCCAUUCAUGGCCGCCGGGGGCUCUCAGCCCCGGGCCCGCGCCCGCCGGAGACACCACGAACUCUGUCUGAUCUAGUGAAGUCUGAGUUGAUUGUAUCGCAAUCAGUUAAAACUUUCAACAAUGGAUCUCUUGGUUCCGGCAUCGAUGAAGAACGCAGCGAAAUGCGAUAACUAGUGUGAAUUGCAGAAUUCCGUGAAUCAUCGAGUCUUUGAACGCACAUUGCGCCCCCUGGUAUUCCGGGGGGCAUGCCUGUCCGAGCGUCAUUGCUGCCCAUCAAGCACGGCUUGUGUGUUGGGUCGUCGUCCCCUCUCCGGGGGGGACGGGCCCCAAAGGCAGCGGCGGCACCGCGUCCGAUCCUCGAGCGUAUGGGGCUUUGUCACCCGCUCUGUAGGCCCGGCCGGCGCUUGCCGAACGCAAAUCAAUCUUUUUCCAGGUUGACCUCGGAUCAGGUAGGGAUACCCGCUGAACUUAAUCAUAUCAAUAAGCGGAGGAAGA
rnacentral:rRNA from 1 species